rnacentral:lncRNA from 1 species
GCAUCGUUUUCUACCUGCAAUUUUGCUUCAGAAACAACAUGUAUCAGAAUGGUUAAAUUCGCACCUCGUUUAGUGGUCCACUUUUAUUUUUUUAAAAAAAAUACGUUAGAAUGCGAUUCUACAGGGUUUCGUGAAUCACUUGGAGAAACGCAGCAUUUUAGGUGGAAAGCUAGGACAAUUACAAAGAAGUUUCUGAGCCGCUGGGCCUGUUUUGACCCCUUUGAUAAAGCUGGAGUUCAAACUAAAGGGAACUUUCCCCUGAAAAAGUAAGACAAUUCUUUUUGGAUAUGCCCGAAAAAUUGGGCGAUCAUGACCCUUUACGUAACUUUGACUAUACAAUUCAACUAGCAUUUUAUGAUGGAGGUCGGGAAAAUUUACCUUUACGAGGUUUUGAUGCACAUCUUGUUCUUUUCAUAGAUUUUUUCGAUUCCAUAGAGGACUAUAAAUGGAGUCUGAAAAAUAAAAUAGAGGAAUCUCGAACCAAAGUGACGUCUGGAAUCCAAGUGAGAAACUGAACGGUGAUUGAAGAGAAUGAGAGGAUGAUAUUAUAGACCAAGAUCCGUGCGCAGAAUCCAAAGCUCACUGAGUUAUCAAUUUUAGAGAUUCGUUCCUCAAGACUGCAAUCAAAAGGUUUCUACAUUAUGCAAAAAAAUCUUGGACAUUUUCUCAGUUGUCGCAGUAAAAUAGGAUUGCAUUUUGCAAAAAGGAACCACUAGCAUUGCAAUGUUGCUAAGAUUGUGCAACUUCUUUUGUCUUGGAGGAAAACCCCGACCAUCCAUACAUAGUUUCUAUUUUACUCGCUAAAAACUAUAAAUUUAAGACAAAAAUUACCAUCUAAAUUUCAUAGUUUUUCACAAUUUCCACAAUUUUAUUGCAAAGGAUGAAGUUGCACAAUCUCAGCAUCAUUGCAAUGUUAGUGGUUCCUUUUUGCAAAAUGCAAUCCAAUUAACAUCUACAUUCUCAGUUGUCACAGUAAAAUUAACAUCUACACAAUCAUCUGUACGAAUUUUAAGUAUGUAUUAAAUAUUGAUCCAUGUAUUUAGGAGGGAGCUACAACGUUAAUUUUCUUUGCUCUCCAGCUACUCUUCUUUCUCCUCUGGUGGGGUGUAUUUUACUUUUGAAAUUUUUGAAUUUAGAGGAUUGCUUCGUCUCAAAUGUUGAUGUCUAGAUGAGGGUAAAAGGUUAAGUAAAGGAAGCAGAAUGACGCUCUGUGAUGAGAAUUUCAAAGAUUCUUGGGAGAUAUGGGAGUAUGAACGGGGGACAAAUAUUUACCUACUUACAUCCUUUAAAAGUUGUAAUAUGAAGGCUUAAUUUCGUCAGAAAGAAAAAAAGUAGCCAUGAAGUUCAGCUUAUUUCCCCCUUUAUUUUACUCUUUCUUGAAGGGUGAAAAAUUACUGGCACAUUUUACAGGCAUUUGGAACACCUUUUUUGGUGCAAAUGGAAUAACGCGAAAAUCUGGCUGGAAAAGUGUGCUGAAUCGGUUGGAGCACUGGUAAAAUAGGGAGCUCUGGCGAUCACGCGUUGCAGAGCUUUUGAACUUUUUAAGUUACUUAAACUGUUUACUAUGCAGCUGUAUGUUAUGUUUGACUUUGUCUUGAAAUUGUUUACAUUUGUUACCUAAUUUCGACAAUAAAUUAUCAAUCAAUCAAUCAAUCAAUCAAUCAAUCAUUCAUGUGGCACCUCUGAUGAAAGAUGACCUAAACAAUACUUGACUCAGUUUGUAAAGCCCUGGAUAGACGAUCAAAUUCCGAUCAAAGUAGAUAUGCUGAUGACUGGUGGUCACCAUCUACCAUCAAAUUUUGACGGGCCGCACUUUUUUGUUCAAAGUAAGAUCAGAACGGAGUGCCACCAUUCAUCAUUCCCUGCCACAGGAAACAUUUCUGCCAAGUUUUCAUUUUAAAAUGAAGCAAAUUAAUGAGUUUAAGACUGAUGACUCCGGACACUUUGAUGCUACUUUGAUCGGAAUUAGUUCGGGAAUUUGAUCGUCUAUCCAGGGCUCUAAAUCCCGAUUGAUCAAAGGCAAUCAGAGAUCAAAAUGGCAGCCUAUGGAAUUCCAACCGGAAGAUUUGACAACGACCACAAGAAAACAUCUUCAGUCUCAGUCUCUCAGUCUCGGAUCUCUAUAGAGAAAGUUCAAAGACACAACCAGCUGCAGCUCAAUUGAGGACAUGGCACAAUUAACAGCCUGUAGCUGGAAAUCACGUUGUGGAGAACAAAGCAUAGAAAGUUUUGUAAGUACUUAGAUAUUUAAUGUGGUACGCCAACUGUGCUUUCCCGGUGCCCAAUUUUAGGGUGACACAACCAUUCUAGAGA